GGAAAGCACAAAAUGAACACAAGGAGAAGUGGCGGGCUGAAGAGAGCAUUCAACACUAUUCUCCAUCAUGACUGACGUGUGACAACCCCUUCAGAAUACAAGCUUCAUCUUCACCUGUCUUCUAGGCUCCCUGGCUGCUGAUGACACCAUGCAUGAAAUCUAAGAGUAUGGAGCUGAAGUACAACUUUCCAGACAGUGAGCAGAUGUACUGUUAGAGACUUCAGUAUCUGCCAUGGCCCUCUCCUGGCAGGUGGGAUAUUCAGAAAUAGAUGGCUGUCAGCUAGGUUGGAUGUGUGCAAUUACAAGGUCCUUUGAGGCUCCAGAGGUCUAAGGCGUAUGGUGAUCAACAUAAUUAUGGCCAAUUUCUUUAGAGUGGAGAAAACCCUCUGCUACUAUAAAGUUUGGACCAAAAUUCAAAA